rnacentral:rRNA from 1 species
UACAGAGGUCUCAAGCGUUGUUCGGAUUCAUUGGGCGUAAAGGGUGCGUAGGUGGCGCUGUAAGUCGGGUGUGAAAUUUCGGAGCUUAACUCCGAAACUGCAUUCGAUACUGCGGUGCUUGAGGACUGGAGAGGAGACUGGAAUUCAUGGUGUAGCAGUGAAAUGCGUAGAUAUCAGGAGGAAUACCGAUGGCGAAGGCAGCUCGCUGGGACGGUACUGACGCUGAGGCGCGAAAGCGUGGGGAGCGAACAGG